UGGGGAAUAUUGGACAAUGGGCGCAAGCCUGAUCCAGCCAUGCCGCGUGUGUGAAGAAGGCCUUCGGGUUGUAAAGCACUUUUGUCCGGGAAGAAAAGCCAGGGAUUAAUACCCCCGGGUUCUGACGGUACCGGAAGAAUAAGCACCGGCUAACUUCGUGCCAGCAGCCGCGGUAAUACGAAGGGUGCAAGCGUUACUCGGAAUUACUGGGCGUAAAGCGUGCGUAGGUGGUUCGUUAAGUCUGCCGUGAAAGCCCCGGGCUCAACCUGGGAAUGGCGGUGGAUACUGGCGGACUAGAGUGCGGUAGAGGGUGGUGGAAUUCCCGGUGUAGCAGUGAAAUGCGUAGAGAUCGGGAGGAACAUCUGUGGCGAAGGCGGCCACCUGGACCAGCACUGACACUGAGGCACGAAAGCGUGGGGAGCAAACAG
rnacentral:rRNA from 1 species